GAAAUCAAUUUAUUACUUCUCACUCCCGUGAGCAUGCACCUCUUCCUCAACUCGCAGAAAAAGACUCUGUCAUUUAAUGACCCUCGACGCAGGAAACGGGGGUCAUGGUUAGGAGCGCGCGCAGCAUUUCCAUCCCAAGAAAAUAGGUAUAUUGAACCUUUUUUUGACAGAAUCUCCCUUUGUAGAGCAGAAUAUUUACUGCCAGGUCACGUGAUACGGGGUGUGGCACCCACAGGUAGGCACGCGAACGCCGUGUUGGUAAACCUUAGCCGCACCCUUCGUCGAUAGCAGCAAUUAUCAAAUCCAGAAGAUUUUUCGGGGUCUAUUUUUAAUAAGUUAUUAUGGCCUCCUUUCAGCCCAUGUUUUUUUUUUUUUUUUGUUGCCUUCACUUUCGAUGGUGCUUUAUUGUCGACCGAACUCUUUAUUGAUGGAGAUACAGCGGCAUAAUCUUUUUAGUGGGUGUCAUGAGCGUGAUUAGUCAGAGAAGGAUUCAGAAUGAAUACGCCCUUGGGGAUUUAGAAGACCGAUUCUUGAGUCUCCUGCCUUCACAAAUGGCCUAAUUUGGGAGUUCGGGAAUUCGUUUAACUGAGAAGCUUGCUUAUCGACAAACGUUUAACCUUUACGAUGCAAACAUGUCUGGAAUCAGUAAAGGAAUGUUUCCAACAGAUGGACUUAGAAUACCAGUAUGAGAAUAAGCCUAUGCCUCUGAAUGAAGAUAUGCUGAACGUCCUCGAUUCCGUUUGAAAUUCUAAAAAUAUGGAUUAUAGGCCUAACAAGUAUCCAUUCCGCCGAAUCACAGUUGGAAACGAAAAGAAAAAGAUAAUACUCUCAAGAAGAAACGCAAUGGAUAUUGACUAAAGAUGCCCUCCCAAAGAAGCUGACACAUAUUGGCAACAAUGUCUUUGUUAUACGCACGCUUUUCAAUGGAAAAAUCAUGCGUAUCAGCAAGUACGCCAAGUACAGGAGUUUAUAUUGUCCAACUCACAAUAUUGUGAAUUUAGAGACAUCGUGUUUAGAAUUCUUCUCUUAAUACAUCCCACAUGACUUAGCCACAAUGCAUCUGCAACUGUACAAGAAUUUCAGUGCUGAGUAUGAUGGUUCUCACUUCACGCUAAUGCAAAUGUCACUUAUUCGUCUACCAACGUUUGAACUUUGGUCAAGCCUACGAAAACAUAUCGGAGUAAUCUAUUAAUGACGAAAAGCUUCCAGAACCCUUUGACAUUUUGGGAGGAACAUUAUGUCUACAUAUUGUUCGUAAGACAUAACUAGAAGAGCUGAUACAACAAGACAAAAUUUGAAGUAUCCUAAAAUCAAACAGCGCGAACAUCUCGUUAUUCAUAACAAAGGAAAUGUUAAUUGCUUGGCUCUGAGAUUAAAUUCCGGCUAUAUAGCCAGACAACUUUAUGGGAACUUAUGGGCAAAACAGUGUUAUUUAUCUCUGCUUAAACCCGCUCAUAAUAUUACAAAAAAGCUUUUAAAUCUGUUUGUUCCAAACUAAUGCUCUGAAGUGAAAGAAGCAGCUGAAGAGAAAGAAUUGAAUCAGAAGAUUUUUGCCUGCCGAUUUGGGAAAAAUACACGAUGGUAUUGAAUAUUAUGAACUUUUAGAAAGUAAAUAAAAUUACAUGUUUAUAAUAGUUUCUUUGCUGUAUGAUAAUUAAGUUAAAAAUAAAUGCACAUUAAGAAUAUGAAAACAGUAUAAAUACGCAUGCACAUAUAUUUCCUGUCAAUAACAUGGA